AUGAAACUUUUACUAUUUUUAUAACUCCUUGUCCGGGCAGGUUUACUCGUUAGUCCGUAAAUCCAGCUGUUAAGAUGAUUAAGACUUUUUUCUUAUUUGGAAUAUUUAUCCUUUGUUUUUUGCAAGUACAAUCAGUGUGUCAAGGUGGAUACUUUGGUGAAAACUGCGAGUAUAAAUGUGCAGAUAACUGUCAGGCGUGUGUUGCUAAGAGAGAAAAUUCAAGUGUGUCCAUUUGUACAACAUGCAAAAAAGGAUAUUUUUUGCUGAGGAAUAAAUGUUUUGAGUGUAUGGGUAAUUGUACAGCUUGUUAUCGUGUUAGGCCUACUAUCUGUACAGAAUGUAAACCAGGAUUUUACGGGCUACAGUGCGGUUUGAAAUGUCCUGAGAACUGUCUAGAAUGUAUAUCAUAUGAUAAGUGUACAAAGUGUAAAGACGGCUGGUCUGGAGUGAAUAAAUGUGUGUGCAGUCGCAAUUGCAUCCGAGAGGGUGGCCCUGAAACUUACUGCUUUUCGAGCGGAAGAUGUGCUAAAGGCUGCAUUAGAGGCAAAUUCGGAUUACACUGUAAUUCCGAUUGCCCAGAGAAAGAUCGUUGCUUGGAAUGCCACCAAUUUAGCGGCCGCUGCAAAAAAUGUGUCAAUGGACUUUAUGGCUCAAUAAAUCACUGCGACAAAAAAUGCGGGAACUGUAUGCCAGAUGUCUCGAACGAAGUUACAUGUUCUAUCGAAGAUGGAGAAUGCAGUGGUCCUUGCACUGAUGGGUUCUAUGGGAAAUAUUGUAAUCAGUAUUGCAGCAGAAAUUGUUUAGAUCCUAUCACUAAAUUAAACAGCUGCAGCAAAAGCACAGGGGAAUGUUCUGCUUGUAAAAUUGGAUUCUACGGCUUGACCUGUUCAAAAAAGUGUAGUCCGAACUCUGAAUCUGGUUGUAACAAGACCACAGGAAUUUCCGAUACAUGUAAAGAUAAUCAUUAUGGCAUCAACUGUACACUAAUAUGUUCACAAAACUGUGGAACUGAACCAGUUGGAAAUUCGCGAAAAACGAUUUGUCAUAGAGCAAAUGGAGAAUGUUUACAUUGUAAACUCGGCUUUUAUGGACAAUUCUGUGACAAACCUUGUCCGGAAAACUGUGAGAAAUUUACAGAAAACAAACAACGGUGUUAUAAAGCUGUCGGGUCUUGUUUGAAGUGUCAGGAUGGAUACUUUGGAACCUUCUGCAAACAAGAAUGCAGCAAGAAUUGUGGGAAGGGAGAUAAUAAAACUAAUGGAUCAUGUGACCAGAACACAGGUCACUGUGAUCAUGGAUGUAUGUCUGGCUGGCACAACAACACAUGCCAAGAAACCUGUAGCAUCGCGUGCAAAGGCCGAUUAUGUCAUAUCCAUACAGCUGAAUGUCUCAAUGGAUGUGAAAACGGAUUUGAAGGUGUUUUCUGUGAAAGAUGUACACAAUGUAACAGUGCCACUGUAGAGGUACUAACUGUGCUUUUAGCAGCUGUAACAGCAGCACUUCUGGCCUCUGUUGUCGGACUGUUUUGCUUAUAUAGGCGAGGAAGAAGAGCAAACCAAACCCAAAAGCCGGCUGUUUAUUAUAACACGUGUACAGGUGAACUAAGAUCAGGCGCAACAGAAAGUGCAUCGCCGCUAAAUGCGCCACAACAGGACAUGGAAUAUGAAAAUAAUGGAGACUUACAGGCAAAUGUAAUGACAGGCGCUAAUUAUAGCCAGCUAGAGCCCAGUGAUGAUGACCAUAUAUACACACAGAGUGCAUAGCAUAGCCGAAGUUCAAUUCUGAAUAGACAUCAUCUCAACAGUUGGGUGUUUAGUGACAUCUUCAAAUUAAAAGCUGCUGUCGCCUCUGAUGAGGCAGGUUCUCGCACGCUAAGCAAGCCAAUGGGCGUGUCUAGAAUCAUUAAUGGGAUCGAAGCUACGCCCUACGAGUUUCCCCACCAGGCGGCGCUACUUUCAAUGGGAG